rnacentral:lncRNA from 1 species
UGGCCGACCUCGUUAAGCUCCAGAAGCGUAUUCCUGAUGAAGAUGCAGCUUGUCUUAAAUUGGUAUCUGGAGCUAUCCUUAAGGUUAAGAAGCGAAAUAAACUCAUCCGCAUUGCAGACAAAUCUCCUGCAGGAUGGAAAACCGUCCGUGAAUAUGAAAGCGACGACCUUGCCUCCGACUCCGAAGACGAGAAGCGCAUUCGUUCUGCAGAAACCCGUGCCAUCAGGAGUAUCAAGGAAAAGAAAAGACCUCAUCCUUAUAGAACCGCUACAGCUACUGCUUCUGCUCCUUCUGCACCUAUGCCUAAUCAACAUAACGCUAGACAAAACAACUACCAACAGCCGCCCUUUCGGACCGGCAGACGGAGGGAACCGUCAUCUCAGGACAUCUGUUACAACUGCAACCAGCUUGGCCACUGGCGAACUCAGUGCCCCCUCCUAUUCAGUACAAAACCAGGUGUCUCAGGGACAACAAGGCAACAG